UUGACAAGUCGACAGCGACAGAUGACCUGCUAUUUCAAUAAUAAAUACAUAACCUAAAAUUUUAAAUUAGAGUAAAUAGUAGUUUUUGUUUAAUAUAAACAUAACUUUGUUCUGCUUGGUAUUACAUUACAUAUUACAUUAAUAAAUUUAUUGUGUUACAACUUACAGAAACAGAAAAUCUACAGACCCUAGUACUUACUGCUUUCAAAACAUUAAACAUGGUAUCUGAGAUGAAAUUCAUUAUAUCAGAAAACGAAAAAGUAAUCCAUACUAUAACUAAAGAAACAAAUUCACUGACUCUAGUAAAAACAUUGGAAGAGUUUCAACAUGCAGUGAACACAAAACUAACCAAGAUGAUUGAGGAACUUGGUGGUACUGUAGGUGAUGAAGACAUGGAAAGUGAAAGUGAAGAUUGUGAUGAUGAUGAGAAUGAAGACAUAUCAAUAUUACCCAAAAAAAGGAGAAAAUAAAGUUAUGUAAUUUUUUUUAAAUUUUAUAUGUGUAAAUAUGAAAAUAAAAGUACUGAUAAACUAAAUAAAUUAAA